rnacentral:misc_RNA from 1 species
AAAGUCGUAACAAGGUAACCGUAGGUGAACCUGCGGUUGGAUCAUUAAAAAUUAUCUACCGUGCUUCGACGGACCCAAUUAAUUUUGGGUAAACCGAAACCUUUUGUGAAACGUCUCGUCCCUGGCGGGGGGGUAGCGAAGAGCUACUUGUCAGCAUGUGCUGUAUUGCAUGUGCCGUGGACAUCCCGUCAACCCCUUUUAAACUUUUAUUUUUUAUUUUUUAAGCCUGACAUUACUUGUAUAAAUAUACAAAACAACUUUUGGCAACGGAUCUCUUGGCUCUC